UACGGAGGGUGCAAACGUUGCUCGGAAUCAUUGGGCGUAAAGCGCACGUAGGCGGCCCAGCAAGUCGGGUGUGAAAGCCCUCGGCUUAACCGAGGAAGUGCAUUCGAAACUACUGAGCUUGAAUACUGGAGGGGAUCGCGGAAUUCCCGGUGUAGAGGUGAAAUUCGUAGAUAUCGGGAGGAACACCAGUGGCGAAGGCGGCGAUCUGGACAGAUAUUGACGCUGAGGUGCGAAAGCGUGGGGAGCAAACAGG
rnacentral:rRNA from 1 species